UACGUAGGAGGCGAGCGUUGUCCGGAGUACUGGCGUAAAGCGCACGCAGGCGGUCAGAUCAGUCUGGAGUGACAGUCGUCGGCUUAACCGACGAAGUGUUCUGGAAACUGUCUGACUUGAGGGCUCAGAGGGACACGGAAUUCCGGGUGGAGUGGUGAAAUGCGUAGAUAUCCGGAGGAACACCGAAGGCGAAGGCAGUGUCCUGGGAAGUACCUGACGCUCAGGUG
rnacentral:rRNA from 1 species